UUUAAUCUCUACUAUCAUAUA
rnacentral:piRNA from 1 species